rnacentral:rRNA from 1 species
AUUGAACGCUGGCGGCAGGCCUAACACAUGCAAGUCGAACGAGUGGCGGACGGGUGAGCAAUGUCUGGGAAACUGCUCGAUGGAGGGGGAUAACCACUGGAAACGGUAGCUAUUACCGCACAUCAUCGCAUGUGCCCAGAUGGGAUUAGCUAGUAGGUGGGGUAACGGCUCACCACGGCGACGAUCCCUAGCUGGUCUGAGAGGAUGACCAGCCAAACUGGAACUGAGACACGGUCCAGACUCCUACGGGAGGCAGCAGUGGGGAAUAUUGCACAAUGGGCGCAAGCCUGAUGCAGCCAUGCCGCGUGUAUGAAGAAGGCCUUCGGGUUGUAAAGUACUUUCAGCGAGGAGGCGUUACUCGCAGAAGAAGCACCGGCUAACUCCGUGCCAGCAGCCGCGGUAAUUC